AACGAACGCUGGCGGCAGGCCUAACACAUGCAAGUCGAGCGAACCUUCGGGUUAGCGGCGGACGGGUUAGUAACGCGUGGGAACGUGCCCUUCUCUACGGAAUAGCCUCGGGAAACUGAGAGUAAUACCGUAUACGCCCUUCGGGGGAAAGAUUUAUCGGGGAAGGAUCGGCCCGCGUUGGAUUAGGUAGUUGGUGGGGUAAUGGCCUACCAAGCCGACGAUCCAUAGCUGGUUUGAGAGGAUGAUCAGCCACACUGGGACUGAGACACGGCCCAGACUCCUACGGGAGGCAGCAGUAGGGAAUCUUGGACAAUGGGGGCAACCCUGAUCCAGCCAUGCCGCGUGAGUGAUGAAGGCCUUAGGGUCGUAAAGCUCUUUCGCCUGUGAUGAUAAUGACAGUAGCAGGUAAAGAAACCCCGGCUAACUCCGUG
rnacentral:rRNA from 1 species